UUCGAAGACAAUGCGGUUCUCCGUCGCCAACAUGAAGACGUUAAUUUGUUUAACACGAGUGUAGAAUCGAUACACUGUCUCAAUGCGGUGCGAAUGGGCGUGGCCUGUCUGCUAACAAUCAACUCGACCGUAUCGCUGUAAAAUUGUUAAUCCCGUCUUUCCGGUCAUAAAUAUAAUACAAGUCGACAGCAAACACGGUUUGUGAUCAAAGUCUUCCUGUUUGGAAAUUCUGAGCUCUCACUGCUUUCGAGUGUGUUUGUGUGUGUGUGUGUGUGUGUGUGUGUGUGUGAGUGCGCUGCAGAGAGCCUCUCCGUGCCGCAAACAAGCACUCCUAAUCUGCCUUCUCAUCUAAAGCUGUCUGAUGUCCUCAAUUAGAGCGAGCCGGCUCCUCGAGAGCUCCUGCAGUAGAAGAGCGAGGAGAUCAGCGUGAGCCGCGCCCGAGAUCCACACCGUCUGUAUGACACGUUCUGUACAGAACCCGUGGAGACGUUCCAGCAGAGAAAGAGCUAUGAGAGGCCAGUGCGGACCUGGAUUGUGUGUGUGUGUGUGCGCGUGAAGAUGAGUUACGCAACACACCGGAACAGCUGUGAGGCGUCCCGGACUCCAGUUACGCUUCUCUGUAAAGGCAAUCAGCUCACUCACACCCGAGACCUUGUGAGCGUAACUGUGUGUAUGAGGAGGACAGAGACGGAGGAGUCAGAUGUGUGACUCAUGAGGAGAAAGUACAGGGUGAAUCAGAAGGUCAUUCAGAUUCCACAUAAAUAAAAGAUGGAAGGAAAUGACGCCACUGUGUGACGUCGCACCGACUCCUCUCGCCCGGGGCUUCGCUGUCACAGUCCUGUUUGUAUUGGCAUGCAGGUGUGUUUGUGAUGGAGUCGCUCUGGAGGACUGCAUCCGAUGCUACGUUUAUAUAUUUGACAUUCGAGGCGUCCCUGUGUAACACAGCACGAUGAUAAAGUGAUUGAUGACUGCAGAGUGUGUGUGCGUCUGCUCCUGAGGAGUGUGUGUCUGCUCCUGAGGAGUGUGUGUCUGCUCCUGAGGAGUGUGUGUCUGUUAAGCGGAGUAUCCGUUCGGUAGAGGGGAAACCUUCAUGGACUGAUAGACAAUAAAACCACACCUCCUUUAAUUAGAUCAGCAAGUACAGAGGCCACGCCUACUUUAUUUACACUAGCAUGUAUAAAGGCCACACCCACUUUGCUUAGAUUGACAGGUACAGACCCUAUACAGUCCAUCCUUCACGCUAAGUCACAUGGACUACGGCCACGCCUCCUUCAGUUGGGCUGUAAAAAGUAAAAGCCACACCUCCUUCACUCUCACAAGCACAAAGGCCACACCCCCUUCAUUUUUUUAAGCAUAUAAACCACACCUACUUUAUUUUAUAUGCAAAGGCCACACCUUCUUUAUUUUGGAAGCACAAAGGUCACACCUUCACCAUCAAAUGCACAAAAGCCACACCUCCUUUAUUCUAUGAACACAAACACCACGCCUCCUUCACAGUCACAUGCACAAAAGCCACACCUUUAUUUUCUAAGCACAAAGUCACACCCCCUCCUUUUUUUAUAACCACAAAAAGCCAUGCCUCAUUCACUUUCAAACACAAAAGCCUUUUAUAAACAAAGGCCACACCCCCUUUGUUUUAUAAACAAAGGCCA